rnacentral:rRNA from 1 species
UACAGGGGGUGCAAACGUUGCUCGGAAUCAUUGGGCGUAAAGCGCACGUAGGCGGCUUUGCAAGUUAGAGGUGAAAGCCCGGGGCUCAACUCCGGAAUUGCCUUUAAAACUGCAUCGCUAGAAUUGUGGAGAGGUAAGUGGAAUUCCGAGUGUAGAGGUGAAAUUCGUAGAUAUUCGGAAGAACACCAGUGGCGAAGGCGACUUACUGGACACAUAUUGACGCUGAGGUGCGAAAGCGUGGGGAGCAAACAGG